GGUUCUGUAAUAUAAUCAAAAUAUGUUAGACUGCAAUUCUAAGUAUGCAAUUUAUUUGCCAGAACUU
rnacentral:tRNA from 1 species